rnacentral:misc_RNA from 1 species
GGUAAUUAAGCAGUUACUUUUUUUUUCUUUCUCUUGGUUAAAUUGUUAGGGUUCUAGUUUUCCUUGGGCAUGACUUCAUUGUACCAGUUGCCUGCUGGAUGCCAAGCGUUUAAGAUUGAGUCAUUUUGCUUAUUUUGCUGAAUUUGAGCCAGUUUGCUAAUGGCUGUGCAGUAAAUUGUGGACCAUUCCGGUAUUUAAUCCCUAUGCUUAAACCCUGCUUCCCAACCUACCCAACAUUUAAGUCAGGUUUUUCAUUGUAU